rnacentral:rRNA from 1 species
AGGGAAAGAGCCCAGACUGCCAGCUAAGGUCCCUAAAUGUGUGCUAAGUGGUCAAGGAUGUGGGGAAACAUAGACAACCAGGAGGUUGGCUUAGAAGCAGCCAUCCUUUAAAGAAAGCGUAAUAGCUCACUGGUCAAGUUUUCCUGCGCCGUAAAUAUAACGGGGCUAAGCACACUACCGAAGCUGCGGACUCCAGCAAUGGAGUGGUAGGGGAGCGUUCCAGUUGCGUUGAAGCCAUCUCGCGAGGGUUGGUGAAGCGACUGGAAGUGCGAAUGCUGACAUGAGUAGCGAUAAAACGGGUGAAAAACCCGUUCGCCGGAAGCCCAAGGGUUCCUGUCCAAGGAUCAUCCGGGCAGGGUUAGUCGGUCCCUAAGACGUAGCUGAAAAGCGAAGCCGAUGGGAAACGGUUAAUAUUCCCGUACCACCAGUUAGGAGCAGAGCAGGGACGGAGAAGGGUAGGUCAGCCGGGCGCUGGUUGUCCCGGUGCAAGUCUGUAGGUGGU